rnacentral:lncRNA from 10 species
AGGGCACGCGGGCCACAGACCACAGAAGAGUUAGUUUCUGAGAAAAAUUGGGAUGCCUGAAUUUCUUGGGAUUCAGAUGAAGGAUACUUGAGAACCAGCAACUGGCAUCAACAGUGUUAUGCUCCUCUGCGGAGAUGCCAAAACCUGAACACCUCAGUUCCAACAACUUUCACUCAGGGGAGGUUAACAGAGAGAUUGAGAGAAGUUAAACAACAUGUUCAAGAUCACACUGUUGGGGAAAUGAAAAGGGAGAGACUGAAGAUACUGGAGGAAAAAAUAAUGGAGCAGUUUCCGG